rnacentral:rRNA from 1 species
ACGUAUUUAUUAGAUAAAAGGCCAAUGCGGGCUUGCCCGGUAUUGCGGUGAAUCAUAAUAACUCUUCGAAUCGCAUGGCCUUGCGCUGGCGAUGGUUCAUUCAAAUUUCUGCCCUAUCAACUUUCGAUGGUUGGAUAGAGGCCUACCAUGGUGGUAACGGGUGACGGAGAAUUAGGGUUCAAUUCCGGAGAGGGAGCCUGAGAAACGGCUACCACAUCCAAGGAAGGCAGCAGGCGCGCAAAUUACCCAAUGCUGAUACAGGGAGGUAGUGACAAUAAAUAUCACUGCCGGGCUUUCAAAGUCUGGUAAUUGGAAUGAGUACAAUCUAAAUCCCUUAACGAGGACCCAUUGGAGGGCAAGUCUGGUGCCAGCAGCCGCGGUAAUUCCAGCUCCAAUAGCGUAUAUUUAAGUUGUUGCAGUUAAAAAGCUCGUAGUUGGAUUUUGGGCGUGA